AUUGAACGCUGGCGGCAGGCCUAACACAUGCAAGUCGAACGAGUGGCGGACGGGUGAGUUAUGUCUGGGAAACUGACUGAUGGAGGGGGAUAAAUAAUGGAAACGGUAGCUAAUACCGCAUACCAUCGGAUGUGUCGCAAUGGGAUUAGCUAGUAGGUGGGGUAAAGGCUCACCUAGGCGACGAUCCCUAGCUGGUCUGAGAGGAUGACCAGCCACACUGGAACUGAGACACGGUCCAGACUCCUACGGGAGGCAGCAGCGGGGAAUAUUGCACAAUGGGCGCAAGCCUGAUGCAGCCAUGCCGCGUGUAUGAAGAAGGCCUUCGGGUUGUAAAGUACUUUCAGCGGGGAGGCGUUACCCGCAGAAGAAGCACCGGCUAACUCCGUGCCAGCAGCCGCGGUAAUUC
rnacentral:rRNA from 1 species